UCCCGCCGCCCCCGCCCGCCUACGGGAGGAGCAGUGGGGAAUAUUGCGCAAUGGGCGAAAGCCUGACGCAGCAACGCCGCGUGAGGGAUGAAGGCCUUCGGGNUGUAAACCUCUUUCAGCAGGGAAGAAGCGAAAGUGACGGUACCUGCAGAAGAAGCACCGGCUAAGCUACCAUG
rnacentral:rRNA from 1 species